AUGCAUCUAUUUGACAGACCUGGAGCAGUUACUGUCUGUUGCUACGGUUACAGUGCAAUGCAAGAAAAAAGGGUCCUCGCGCUUUCUGUCUGUCUGAUUGUGGCAGCCAAGAUUGAAUGGGGGAAUACAAAA
rnacentral:snoRNA from 1 species